ensembl:lncRNA
UAGUCAAGACAGAGAUAAGCUUUGGUUUAUCAGAGAUCAGAGUUCAGAUCACUUGUCGAUAAUACUCAUGGAAUAUGCUAAAUAAAUACAUACACAUAUAUAUAUAUAUUUAUGGUAGAAACUACAAAAUGAAUAUGAACUGACCGAAUAAUUAUUUAAUGUAAGUACAUUUUUGAGGUAUAAGUAAGUAAUUAAAUACAUGCUCCACUACACUUCAGGGUACAUUUACACCAGCUACAUAUACCACUCACACUUGCUACAUGCGAUCAACUGAUAAAAUACUUUACAUCAACAGACAACAAAAAUAACAAGACAUAAAAAAAAAAGAUCCAACAAGAUCCUUCCAGUUUGAAUUCAAACUCAAAAACAACCAGAGAUGGAACAUCAUUCAAACAAUGGACUCAAAGUCGUAUCAGACACUUAAUGCAACGUUGACUUAAGGCGAGGCAUGGUUCAUUUUUUGCCAACAUCGCCAAAUGGAAGUCACUCAUGACUCAUGUGGUUGUUUGAUUGUAGCAGCUACAAGCCUCCACACUAUUUAUUUUUCUCCACUGUUGCAUAAAUCAUUUGGACCGCUCUGAAGUUGCAGGUGAAGCGAUGCAAACGCCAGUGGGCCUCACAUGCAUCAGCCAUAAGACAGCGGGAGAGUGAGGAGUACGUAGACAGGAUUAAACCGGUUUAUGAGUCAUCCCAACCAGAAGAACACCCCCCAAAAAAACACUCGGACACACACACACACACACACACAGUGAAAUAGCACAGAAGGCCUCUCUAGGCUUUGGGCCUGGUGCACACAGUGAUGUGUUAAUGGCGGCGCAGGUUUCCUGCUACUUUCACUACACGCCACCAUCACUUCAUCUAUCUGUAACUUUAUAACAGCUUCUUGCACAAUCCUCACGGUCACCAAACCUACAUGUACUUAAACCAAGUAUACUUGUACAGCGUCUUUCUAGUAUCCCGACCGCUCCGAGCGCUUCCCACUUAUAGUACAUCUUAUAAUGACGUGGACAUUGUCCUCAAAAAGAGGACAAGUCCCCGCAAUUUUACUGUGUGCACGGGUUCAUGUCCCACAACACGAGUAAUACAUUGUAGUAAGAUUAGUAAUAUUUUCGUGCACGAUGCCGGUUGAAUUGUGUGUGUGUGUGUGUGUACUGUGUGUUCAGUUUUGACCAAAUCCCUAUGUAAUGUUUAUUCUAAUGAGGUUUCCCCCCCCACGCUGGACUCCCAUGUAACAAAGCCAGAGAUAGUGAAGACAUUUCAAUCUGCAGCAGGGGAGCGUCACUUCGCUGGAAAGUACCUUUCCUUCCCCUCUGAGAAAACCAGCCUUUUACGGGAAUCAGAUCUCAUGAGAACAGAAAAGUAGGACCGAGUGCGCCCUCUCCCCAGGACGGCCAAACCGUUCGCCCGACCACCAGCCGGUUCUCGUUGUAUUUCUUUAUUUCGAUAAGCCGCUCUGAUUAUCGCUAUGUUAACGCAUGCUAAUGCUAAGGCAAUAGUGGGACAUGUGUAUCGGCAUAAAUAAAUAAGCAGAGCGGGUGCGCUCUGUCCGCUGGCUUCCGUCGGUUACCAAAACAUUGCUCAAAUGACCCGUUUCAGACUUAAUCAACAUAGAAUGCCUUUGUGUUCAUUACUAAAGCCUCACAUUAAGACAUACGUCACUUUAUUUAAGACGCUGUGCUACUUGCGAGUGGCUGUGAUCUGCUAGAUUGUCACUAAAGUUAGAAAAAAGCAUGUACGGCAAACCCACGGUCACGAAGAUACUCAUUUAACGUGACAUGGUAUUUGCGUGUCGUUAAAACACCCAACUGAGAUCGACUUAUGCCGUUCUGAAAAAGGAACCUGCCACCGACCACUUUUCGCACUCGGCGUCACUCAGAAAGUAUCCAUUCAACUUUGUUGAUUUCCCGUGUCAGAUUAUUAUUUUACCACGUGAAUACUGUGAUUUGCAUUGAUUUCACUCUCACCGCACCACGCUAGUUUCUGAGUAACAUGUCGGUUCAUCUGGAGACACGCACGUAUCUAACUUGUCGUUACCACGUCUGUUUUAUUCUGGUUUAUUCUCGAUUUUCAAUUGAAUGCCUCAAGUUUGGUUUCGCUUUAGAUCUUUAGUCUUUUCGCGCAAACAUAUUUAAUACUUACCGAUAAGGACGAAGAAGAUCCGUAACUUGCUAUAAAUCAUCUUUAGGCCAAUGUGCGCGGAACUUCAGUUCAGCAGGAUGUUAACAUCUGGCAGCCUUCGAUAGAGUGUUCGGCGAGACGCGGGAUGGGGUGAUUUAUAGCUGCCCGCCUCCUGCAAACCCGUGACAACAGGUUUACCGUAAAUGAUUUUGUUUUAACUCUUGAGAAAUUAACGUCACCACAACACAUGCCGCGCCUUUAAACCAGAUCCAAAAAGGCAGUGGCGGAUCUAGAAAAUUUUACAUGGGGGGGCAAAGGGGUGGCAAGAGGUCUUGGCAGGGUGGCAGGGAUGACGGUACAUAGGAAUCCCUAUAUGUGAAUUGCUUCAACAAAACAAACACAAAAACACUUUUAAACUUAAGGUUUUUAAUUCACAACAUGAAUGAAACAUUUGUUCAAACAAAACAAAGCUGCAAUUUUUACUUUGUCUCAAGAGUAUAAUAGUUAAAAAAAAAAAAGAAGUCAUAUUUACCUGAGCCCUUACUGUCUAACAGGGGGCCUCGGACAUAUCAAAAUUGAAUAAAGUGAUCAAACUGCGUGCACUGCAUAAAUUAUUCAUUAAAUAUAGACUAAUCAUUAUUUAAGCUACAAAAGUUCUUUAGUCAAGAGCAGUAAGAAAUGUUCUGUUGUUUUUGUUCUUAGCUUUACUGACAGAACGCUUUAGUGCAUAGGUCACUAACUGGCGGACCGCGGUCCGGGUCCGGACCCAGAGGCCGUCCCAUCCGGACCCGGACUGCCAGCCAAAACAGAAGGUUGUCAUUUUGACAGACUGACGGCG